UCAAGUGAAGAAGCGCAUACGGUGGAUGCCUUGGCAGUCAGAGGCGAUGAAAGACGUGGUAGCCUGCGAUAAGCUUUGGGGAGUCGGCAAACAGACUGUGAUCCAGAGAUCUCUGAAUGGGGGAACCCACUCAGCAUAAGCUGAGUAUCUUGUACUGAAUACAUAGGUGCAAGAGGCGAACCAGGGGAACUGAAACAUCUAAGUACCCUGAGGAAAAGAAAUCAACCGAGAUUCCCUUAGUAGUGGCGAGCGAACGGGGACCAGCCCUUAAGUUGAUUUGAGAUUAGUGGAACGCUCUGGAAAGUGCGGCCAUAGUGGGUGAUAGCCCCGUACACGAAAAUCUCUUAUCAAUGAAAUCGAGUAGGACGGAGCACGAGAAACUUUGUCUGAAUAUGGGGGGACCAUCCUCCAAGGCUAAAUACUACUGACUGACCGAUAGUGAACCAGUACCGUGAGGGAAAGGCGAAAAGAACCCCGGAGAGGGGAGUGAAAUAGAACCUGAAACCGUAUGCGUACAAGCAGUGGGAGCCUACUUUGUUAGGUGACUGCGUACCUUUUGUAUAAUGGGUCAGCGACUUAUAUUCAGUGGCGAGCUUAACCGAAUAGGGGAGGCGUAGCGAAAGCGAGUCUUAAUAGGGCGUUUAGUCGCUGGGUAUAGACCCGAAACCGGGCGAUCUAUCCAUGGGCAGGUUGAAGGUUAGGUAACACUGACUGGAGGACCGAACCGACUACCGUUGAAAAGUUAGCGGAUGACCUGUGGAUCGGAGUGAAAGGCUAAUCAAGCUCGGAGAUAGCUGGUUCUCCUCGAAAGCUAUUUAGGUAGCGCCUCAUGUAUCACUGUAGGGGGUAGAGCACUGUUUCGGCUAGGGGGUCAUCCCGACUUACCAAACCGAUGCAAACUCCGAAUACCUACAAGUGCCGAGCAUGGGAGACACACGGCGGGUGCUAACGUCCGUCGUGAAAAGGGAAACAACCCAGACCGUCAGCUAAGGUCCCAAAGUCAUGGUUAAGUGGGAAACGAUGUGGGAAGGCUUAGACAGCUAGGAGGUUGGCUUAGAAGCAGCCACCCUUUAAAGAAAGCGUAAUAGCUCACUAGUCGAGUCGGCCUGCGCGGAAGAUGUAACGGGGCUCAAACCAUGCACCGAAGCUACGGGUAUCACCUUUUGGUGAUGCGGUAGAGGAGCGUUCUGUAAGCCUGUGAAGGUGAGUUGAGAAGCUUGCUGGAGGUAUCAGAAGUGCGAAUGCUGACAUGAGUAACGACAAUGCGAGUGAAAAACUCGCACGCCGAAAGACCAAGGUUUCCUGCGCAACGUUAAUCGACGCAGGGUUAGUCGGUCCCUAAGGCGAGGCUGAAAAGCGUAGUCGAUGGAAAACAGGUUAAUAUUCCUGUACUUCCAGUUAUUGCGAUGGAGGGACGGAGAAGGUUAGGCCAGCCUGGCGUUGGUUGUCCAGGUUUAAGGUGGUAGGCUGAAAUCUUAGGCAAAUCCGGGAUUUCAAGGCCGAGAGCUGAUGACGAGUUGCCUUUAGGCGACGAAGUGGUUGAUACCAUGCUUCCAAGAAAAGCUCCUAAGCUUCAGAUAACUGGGAACCGUACCCCAAACCGACACAGGUGGUUAGGUAGAGAAUACCAAGGCGCUUGAGAGAACUCGGGUGAAGGAACUAGGCAAAAUGGCACCGUAACUUCGGGAGAAGGUGCGCCGGCGAGGGUGAAGGACUUGCUCCGUAAGCUCAUGCCGGUCGAAGAUACCAGGCCGCUGCGACUGUUUAUUAAAAACACAGCACUCUGCAAACACGAAAGUGGACGUAUAGGGUGUGACGCCUGCCCGGUGCCGGAAGGUUAAUUGAUGGGGUUAGCGCAAGCGAAGCUCUUGAUCGAAGCCCCGGUAAACGGCGGCCGUAACUAUAACGGUCCUAAGGUAGCGAAAUUCCUUGUCGGGUAAGUUCCGACCUGCACGAAUGGCGUAACGAUGGCGGCGCUGUCUCCACCCGAGACUCAGUGAAAUUGAAAUCGCUGUGAAGAUGCAGUGUAUCCGCGGCUAGACGGAAAGACCCCGUGAACCUUUACUAUAGCUUUGCACUGGACUUUGAAUUUGCUUGUGUAGG
rnacentral:rRNA from 1 species